rnacentral:lncRNA from 1 species
UGAUCUAUCAAGUCCAUAUCAAGGGUUUGAGACCCUCAUGACUAAAAGCACAACCAUGGAUUGAUCAAAAAUGUCUAAAAGCAUCAUAUAUGAGUCCCAAUGAUCUUUAAAUGUCAUAUUGAUCUAGUAUUCUUCAAGAGUUUAGAAGUGAUUUGCCUUGGAAACCCUAGUUUGACUAGGUAUCUUAAGUAACUUCUCCAACAAGCUAUCUCACCAAUUGAUCAAAUUUCUCAAGGGACACUUAAACAUUCAUCAUAUUAUGCAUAUAUGAUCUACCAUGAGCCUAAAAAGUCAAGAAAAUUGAAGAUUAGCAAGUUGGUUGGUGGUGGUUGGCCAAAUGAAUUCAUCUGAUAAAAACUGGGUCUCCCUAGACCUUAUCUCCUACAAUUUUCACCAUAUGAAAAUGAUUCCAAGAGAAAAGUUACUCUAAAUGACAUUAUAAACA